AUUGAACGCUGGCGGCAUGCUUUACACAUGCAAGUCGAACGGUAACAGGCCGCAAGGUGCUGACGAGUGGCGAACGGGUGAGUAAUGCAUCGGAACGUGCCCAGUCGUGGGGGAUAACGCAGCGAAAGCUGUGCUAAUACCGCAUACGAUCUAUGGAUGAAAGCGGGGGACCGUAAGGCCUCGCGCGAUUGGAGCGGCCGAUGUCAGAUUAGGUAGUUGGUGGGGUAAAGGCCUACCAAGCCGACGAUCUGUAGCUGGGCUGAGAGGACGACCAGCAACACUGGGACUGAGACACGGCCCAGACUCCUACGGGAGGCAGCAGUGGGGAAUUUUGGACAAUGGGCGCAAGCCUGAUCCAGCAAUGCCGCGUGCAGGAAGAAGGCCUUCGGGUUGUAAACUGCUUUUGUACGGAACGAAACGGUCUGGGUUAAUACCCUGGGCUAAUGACGGUACCGUAAGAAUAAGCACCGGCUAACUACGUGCCAGCCGCCGCAGUAAUAC
rnacentral:rRNA from 1 species